rnacentral:lncRNA from 1 species
UUUUUUUUCCUGGGAGGGCGGUGCGAGCGCCCAGCCCGCCUUGUUGCAGCCCUGGUGUAGGGUAGCGUGCGUUGCCCUAGACUUGCUGGGGGAGAAGGGAGGUGGCAGCGCGUUUUGCCGCACGCUCGUGCCGGUGAGGAGAGGAGGCCUGGAGAGGCCGCGUACAGCCAGCYGUGUCCCAUAUUUUGCGACGGGGAAAGUGAAUAUUUGCGCUCUGCCGUGACCCACUUUGGGCAGGGAGCGUGCGGAGUGCACGGAUGUAACGCGAUUUUCGCGCUUCUCGUGGGGGAAGCAGGCCCCGGCGUAGCUCCGCGCAUGCUUUCCCAGGCGAGGGACUGAAGCGGUAGAAAAAAAGCAGAGCAUGCUGCACGGUUUUGGGGAGGGGGAGGGGACAGGCAUGCGAUAUGCCGUGACCAGCGAGGGUUUGGAGGAGAGGGGAUGUGCAUACAAGUUAAACCACGUUUAGGGGAGGAGUUAGGAGGAGCCGCCCCCUCUGGUGGGAACAGCACUGCACACACGCCCUUUUCCUCUCGCCUUAAAACUAACUGCUCUCUCCGAGUCGGCUUCCUGCUGGUGGUCUGCCCCCUCCCCACGAGGGGCCUGGUGUUAAGUCGUGGGCUUGGGGAGGAGGAAAUAGCGGGCCGUUUAGCUGCACGRGCUGUAUUCUCCCCGGCAGCAAAGGAGUGAUGAUGUGACUUUGCUGCUCAGUGUGACACUUCAGUGUACGUUCUGCUGGCAAUAUACUUGCCAGCACUGGAGUCUUACUACAGGUAAGGAAAGUGUUGUAUCUUUAAAAGUAUGGUUUCUAAGGUUUCUGGUAUUAAUGAACUUUGUAAGCAACAAUUUCUAAACCAAAAUAAUAUCUAGAAAAUCAUGCAGUGUUGUGAAACACCUGACUUGUCAUACCCACAGCUGACAUGUACUGGUCUACAGCAAAAUUCAAUGCCAAAGUCCAGCAGGCUGUUAGUGGUAGAAUACCUACCUUUUGGCAUGUGCCAGAAAUAGAUCUAGCUGUAUUUAAUAACCCUUUCGGGACAAAAAUCUUCACUUGCCUGUCUAUUAUAUUGGUUCACUUGGUAGUGACUGGAUAACUCCCAUAAUAGAUUUUAAUCCAAAACUUUUCAAAUUGUAUAUAUUUUUUUUCUGGAUAUCUUACAGUAUUGAUAAUAGGGAAGUCUAGUGAAAGAUUCCUCAUCAGAGUUAGUUUUAGUGAUGGGAGGGCUUUUCUUAGUUUGGUGGUCUUUGAAUUUACGUCUGCUAGUUUUUAGUGAAUACGUAUGCAUCAAACAAUAGAAAUUAGGGAUAUCUGUUGGGUUCUAUUCUAUGGAGAAGUAGAAGAUUAGCUUCAGACUGAUUCUGACUGUUGAAGUCAGUUUCUUAAAACUGUUCAGUGAAGAAGUAGUAAUAAAGCCCCCUUAUUUACAGACUCCA